GCGAGGGUGGCGGAAUGGUAGACGCGCUAGCUUGAGGUGCUAGUCCACGUAAGUGGGUGGGGGUUCAAGUCCCCUCCUUCGCA
rfam:Arthrobacter sp. 7749 genome.